GUGCCAGCAGCCGCGGUAAUACAGAGGGUGCAAGCGUUAAUCGGAAUUACUGGGCGUAAAGCGUGCGUAGUCGGUUAUUUAAGUCGGGCGUGAAAGCCCCGGGCUCAACCUGGGAAUUGCGUUCGAUACUGGAUAGCUAGAGUUCGGCAGAGGGAAGCGGAAUUUCGGGUGUAGCGGUGAAAUGCGUAGAUAUCCGAAGGAACAUCAGUGGCGAAAGCGGCUUCCUGGACCAGAACUGACGAUCAGGCACGAAAGCGUGGGGAGCAAACAGGAUUAGAUACCCGAGUAGUCC
rnacentral:rRNA from 1 species